AUUAAACCGAUUAUCAUUCCCCUUUGCCUUCGUCUUUCCCUUAAUUUCUGAUUUCUUCUUCGUCUUUUCUUUGCUUCCAAGAACUUUGUGGUUUGUCGAUGCAGUGAUUUUUGAGGUUUCGCAACGACGCGGACGCACCCAACCAUCGGUUUCAAGCAAGUAUCUAUUUUAAUUUGGGAGUUGGGUAUGUUAUCUAUGUUCUGAACGUGGUCAUACCUGUUUUUUUAUGCUUAGAAGCAAUUCUCUGUUUCGAUUUUGGGUUAGUUGUUUUUUUUUUUUUCAAAUUUUGGUCUCGGGCUCCACCGUCAAUCACUUUGGGUUAGGGUUGGGUUUACUUUCACUAUUUAUGAAUUGUCUAAUUUUGGUCUCGGAUACGUAGUAUCACUGUUACAAAUUGGAUCAAUUGUUCAUCUUAGGAUAGCAAUCUUGAUACAGCUAUUCCUUCUAUAAAGGUGACGAUCCUUCUAUUUCAGAUUAGCACUUAAAAUCUGAAGGUAAGAUGUAGAGGUUAAGGUAUAGAAGAUGGGUGAAUUUCAGAGAUCUAUUGUUUGUAGAAUUGCUUCCUUAAGUAUCUGUUGUUUCGUUUCUUUCUUGUCUGUUGGUGUGUUCCAUAUUUUUGUUUAUUAUGAUGAUGUUUUUCUGUGCUUUGCAGGUUACAUAGUGCAUCUGUGUGGUUUUUGUUGUCAAUCUGCUUACUCUGGUAUGUCUCCUAUACCGUGUUUCUGCUGUUAAUGGUAUUUAUUGUGGUAAAUGUAAGCAAAAUGAAAUGAUUCAAAUCCAGUGAUGUUGUAAUUCAUACCCUCUCCUUUUUGGUUUGUCUGUGCAGGCUUUACUAACAUCCCAUGGUUUUGGUUACAAAUUGUAAAAAAAAAAAAAACAAAAAAAGUCCAUCAAUUGUUAAAGGUAGGAGUUGAGACUCCAUAAUUAAUGAACAAAGUUUGUUUCCUUCCACUUCCAAUAUGCACACAUUCAAUUAUAUUGUUAUCUUCUUUUAUUCAAAAUUACAUUUACAAAUGUGUUGUAUGAUUUCUUAGGUUUGCAUAUUGUUUAUAGGAGGGGACUCUAGGUCAUUUUGUAUUUAUAUGUUUACAGAAAGUUAUUUAGCUAAAAUAAUCUGAUGCAUGAGUGUGCUUUUUUUUUUUAACCAAUUAGCUUGCUUAUUGACAUAUUUUACUUGAGGGGUAUUUUUGUCAAUUACCAUUCUUUUACCGAAUUUGUUUGACUUUUGACCAACAGGGAAAGAAUGAAAGUUUUCUGUCUACUCAUGGAACUGAAACUCAAAGUUUAGCUACAUAAUAGGAACAUAUGUAAUUAUAAUGGAUCGUGUGUGUAUGCACGUCAAAAAUUAAAAAAAAAAAAAAAAGAUCCGUGGUUCACCACGGUUUCAC
rnacentral:lncRNA from 1 species